rnacentral:rRNA from 1 species
AUUGAACGCUGGCGGCAUGCCUUACACAUGCAAGUCGAACGGCAGCACGGGGGCAACCCUGGUGGCGAGUGGCGAACGGGUGAGUAAAGCAUCGGAACGUGCCCAGUAGUGGGGGAUAGCUCGGCGAAAGCCGGAUUAAUACCGCAUACGACCUACGGGUGAAAGCGGGGGACCGAAAGGCCUCGCGCUAUUGGAGCGGCCGAUGUCAGAUUAGGUAGUUGGUGGGGUAAAGGCCUACCAAGCCGACGAUCUGUAGCUGGUCUGAGAGGACGACCAGCCACACUGGGACUGAGACACGGCCCAGACUCCUACGGGAGGCAGCAGUGGGGAAUUUUGGACAAUGGGCGAAAGCCUGAUCCAGCCAUGCCGCGUGCGGGAAGAAGGCCUUCGGGUUGUAAACCGCUUUUGUCAGGGAAGAAAUAUUCCGGGCUAAUACCCCGGGGGGAUGACGGUACCUGAAGAAUAAGCACCGGCUAACUACGUGCCAGCCGCCGCGGUAA